UAGGGAAUCUUCCACAAUGGACGAAAGUCUGAUGGAGCAACGCCGCGUGAGUGAAGAAGGGUUUCGGCUCGUAAAGCUCUGUUGGUAGUGAAGAAAGAUAGAGGUAGUAACUGGCCUUUAUUUGACGGUAAUUACUUAGAAAGUCACGGCUAACUACGUG
rnacentral:rRNA from 1 species